CUGGUGGCUGGAAUGAACAACUUGAGUAAAAAGUUUGAUGCUUUCACUGUUUCCACUAGUUCGAGUUCAUACAAAGAGUCAAAUUCCGUCAUGAAAGAGAAUCACGAGUCAUAUAGUUUGUGUGUUUUGUGUAACAGUCUUGAGCAUCUAGUGGAGUGCUGCCCUAGUCUGCCUAACAUAAAGGCCGAGCAAGCAAAUGCUCUAAAUUCAUAUAGUGCCUUUAAGAAGCCCACUCCCAACUCGUUCAG
rnacentral:lncRNA from 1 species